AGAGUUUGAUUCUGGCUCAGAUUGAACGCUGGCGGCGUGCUUAACACAUGCAAGUCGAACGUGAAAGUCCUUCGGGGCGAGUAAAGUGGCGCACGGGUGAGUAACGCGUGGAUAAUCUACCCUUAAGAUGGGGAUAACGGCUGGAAACGGUCGCUAAUACCGAAUACGCUCCCGAUUUUAUCGUUGGGGGGAAAGAUGGCCUCUGCUUGCAAGCUAUCGCUUAAGGAUGAGUCCGCGUCCCAUUAGCUAGUUGGCGGGGUAACGGCCCACCAAGGCGACGAUAGGUAGCCGACCUGAGAGGGUGAUCGGCCACACUGGAACUGGAACACGGUCCAGACUCCUACGGGAGGCAGCAGUGGGGAAUAUUGCGCAAUGGGCGAAAGCCUGACGCAGCGACGCCGCGUGAGGGAUGAAGGUUCUCGGAUCGUAAACCUCUGUCAGGGGGGAAGAAACCCCCUCGUGUGAAUAAUGCGAGGGCUUGACGGUACCCCCAAAGGAAGCACCGGCUAACUCCGUGCCAGCAGCCGCGGUAAUACGGAGGGUGCAAGCGUUAAUCGGAAUCACUGGGCGUAAAGCGCACGUAGGCGGCUUGGUAAGUCAGGGGUGAAAUCCCACAGCCCAACUGUGGAACUGCCUUUGAUACUGCCAGGCUUGAGUACCGGAGAGGGUGGCGGAAUUCCAGGUGUAGGAGUGAAAUCCGUAGAUAUCUGGAGGAACACCGGUGGCGAAGGCGGCCACCUGGACGGUAACUGACGCUGAGGUGCGAAAGCGUGGGUAGCAAACAGGAUUAGAUACCCUGGUAGUCCACGCUGUAAACGAUGAAUACUAGGU
rnacentral:rRNA from 1 species